rnacentral:rRNA from 1 species
GAGUUUGAUCGUGGCUCAGGAUGAACGCUAGCGGCAGGCUUAACACAUGCAAGUCGAGGGGUAUAGGUUUUCGGACCUAGAGACCGGCGCACGGGUGCGUAACGCGUAUGCAAUCUACCUUUUACAGAGGGAUAGCCCAGAGAAAUUUGGAUUAAUACCUCAUAGUAUAAUGAUUCGGCAUCGAGACAUUAUUAAAGUUCCAACGGUAAAAGAUGAGCAUGCGUCCCAUUAGCUAGAUGGUAAGGUAACGGCUUACCAUGGCGACGAUGGGUAGGGGUCCUGAGAGGGAGAUCCCCCACACUGGUACUGAGACACGGACCAGACUCCUACGGGAGGCAGCAGUGAGGAAUAUUGGUCAAUGGGCGCAAGCCUGAACCAGCCAUGCCGCGUGCAGGAUGACGGUCCUAUGGAUUGUAAACUGCUUUUGUACGGGAAGAAACACUGGAACGUGUUCCAGCUUGACGGUACCGUAAGAAUAAGGAUCGGCUAACUCCGUGGCAGCCGCCGCUGU